GGCUUCGGCGCGCAGUGCGCGUGCGCGGAGCAAAGGGCUGCGGUCCUUCAAGAGGGUCGGAGAUGGCUGCCGCCGAGGCGCCCUCGCCCGAGCCAGCGGCUCCAGAGCAACCCGCGGAGCUGCCCGCCUCGGUGCGCGCGAGCAUCGAGCGGAAGCGGCAGCGGGCGCUGAUGCUGCGCCAGGCCCGGCUGGCUGCCCGGCCCUACCCGGCGACGGCGGCUGCGGCUACUGGAGGCAUGAGUAAUAUAAAAGCAGCCCCAAAGAUAAUUGACACUGGAGGAGGUUUCAUUUUGGAAGAGGAAGAAGAAGAACACAAAAUUGGAAAAGUUGUUCAUCAACCAGCACCUGUUAUGGAAUUUGAUUAUACAAUAUGUGAAGAAUGUGGGAAAGAAUUUAUGGAUUCUUAUCUUAUGAACCACUUUGAUUUGGCAACUUGUGAUAACUGCAGAGAUGCUGAUGAUAAACACAAGCUUAUAACCAAAACAGAAGCAAAAGAGGAAUACCUUCUGAAGGACUGUGAUUUAGAAAAAAGAGAACCAGCUCUUAAAUUUAUUGUGAAGAAGAAUCCUCAUCAUGCACAAUGGGGUGAUAUGAAACUCUACUUAAAACUGCAGAUUGUGAAGAGGUCUCUUGAAGUUUGGGGUAGUCAGGAAGCAUUACAAGAAGCAAAGGAAGUUCGACAGGAAAACCGAGAAAAAAUGAAACAGAAGAAGUUUGAUAAAAAAGUAAAAGAUUUACUUUAGAGGUUGGUGGAUAUGUUCCCGUCCUCCUGUCUAGGCCACAAAGGGCUGAGUGGAGUAGACACUGUAGAGAUUAGAAACAAGGAGCUUACUGUGCAGUUGGCUCAGAACAGAGAGGAAUAAAAGCAAGUCUAAAAGUUUUUUAGUUGAAAAGAAAUUGGAACCUGGUUCCUCUUGGCCUUCUGAUUUUGAUCCACAAAGAAGCUGACUCAAAGUUUACUUCUUUAUGGAAAGAAUUGCGGCGAGCAGUAAGAAGCAGUUUGUGGAAAAGGGAAACGAUUGCUCAUCAACAUGAAUAUGGACCAGAAGAAAACGU